rnacentral:lncRNA from 1 species
CAGCCCAAUUGCUAAACCCGCCCGGCUGCCCCUAAACUUGACCCAUCUCCACAAACACACACACAAAUACAUACAAAGACCCAACAAAUUAAAUCCUAAACUCAUGCGACUAUUUCAUCGUCUUCUUCACAAAGCCGCAUUUCAACUCGCCAAAUCCAUGGCGAGUGAUUCCACAUUCCUAACCCACACAUCCCUCCAUCUCUCCUCUUGCCAUUUCUAAAGUUUUCUAACGCCAAGAUUCCCCUCUCCUCUCACUCGCUUGAAUUUGAGAUAUAUCUCACGUUUGGAAGCUUCUGAAAAGGAUUGGCUGGAUGACUGUGAGGCGUUGGAUUGAUUUUACUCAAUCCGAGCCCCACAUUCAUCAAGGGUUCAUUUUCAAAAAGGAACCUCUUCCGAUUUUGAGAGAUGAGGAAUUCUGGUAAAAAAACAGGGGAGAGAAAACUCGAAGGAUCUUUUUAGCUUCUGAUUUCUCUUUCCUGAAGAUUUUUUUUCUUUGAAAAGUUUCUCCGAAAGGUUCAAAAAGUGAGAUACAUAUAUAUAUUUAUUAAGUUCUGAAUCUAGAUUUUGGGUUCCAAAGAGAUAAAAAAUGGGUCGAAGUCAUUCGAUUGGGGGUGAGACUCAAGUUCGUUAACUUCGAUUUGCUACUGCUGCCUUACUGCUUCGUUGCAGAACCUUGCUAGGAUCUUGGAAUCCAAAAUUUUACUCGCUGCUUCUUCUGUAAUUAUUGAAAAGAAGUUUGAAAGUUCAGGUUCAAUCUCUUUCUCUUUCGCAUCUCUAUUUUUAAAGUGUUCUUGAACUGUGAAUUCUGUCCAGAACGGUGUUUGGUUCUAUGAGUGAAUUUCUUGCUGGUGAAUCUCUUUUCAAUGGUGUGAUGUAUUUGAGUAUGUUCAGUCAGUAAAGUUGAUUUUGAGGGAUCGUCCUCCAUGCUUAUAUGCUUUAAUUGUUAUUAUGGUGGUGAGUUUUCAUUUUGAGUCAAGAUUUCGUUAUUUUCAAAUGAACCGUUUGAUUUCAACUUUGAGAUGGUAUGGAUUCUUGAAGGCGUCAUACUACUGUUAGUUUAAGUCGAUUGGUUUAAGUCUAAAUGACUGUGUUCAUUGGUUCCAGUUUUAUAAUCAAGACUAGUUCCAGUUUAAAUGACCAGUUCAACUAAUGCUUGUGUUGCUUUGGCUAUAUACGACAUGUUUGAUGCUCAAAGUAAUCUGCUUGUACCUACUAUUUUAUCUCAGCAUGUUCUACAUGAAUCAUUGAGUAGUCUCCUUUUUCCCUGAUUCUAUGACCAUUUGCGUAUGUUCUGCUGGUUUGAAGUUGCUGAGAUUAUCCUUGUUAAUUUUUGAUUUUGUGGCUAUCGAGUUAAUCAGUCGGUCUUUCUUGCUGUGGCUCUGUUUGCGUUGUGAUCAAGUUUUCUGUUUUGGGAUAUAAGUCCAUUAGAUUGCUGCUUGCUGAAACUCCAUUUCAGAUUAUUUCAAGCCUCUCAUUUGGCUUUCCAUAUUUGCCCUUUCACUCUCAAUAUUUUACACACAGACUCAUCUAUGACACGCAUUACUUAGAAUGAAUUUAAGCUGAUUGUGAAACAUGGUGCAUUCAAUUACCCCCUUGGUAGCUGUGAGUUGAUUUUUAUGCAAUACUGUUGGUUAAUGUCACAUAUAAUAGCUAACUUUGGUCGAGUUGCAUUCUAUUUCCCUUCCUCUGUUAGUCUAUCAAUUUAGAGCUUUAGAUAUAUGUUCGUUGGUUGUCUAUGCUUGUUUCCUUGACCGGGAUUCUGAUGUCUCUCACCCAUUCUAGGAGACUAGUUUUAUUGAUCUCUUUUACAACCAACUAUUAACUUGGCAUUCAUAUGCUAUGGCUGUUGCUCUUCACCGAACAAUUAGUUCUAAGUAGCUGCUCCAGUUGCUUAAUCCAAUCAUUCAAACUGGAUGUUUUCCUUAUCUAUGUUCUUUGGCUUUCUAAAAAUGGGAAAUAGGCAGAUCUUUGGUUGUUGUGAAGCUGAAACCUUUCUUAUGAGUUUGUUGGCCUGGGUUUGAAAACUUGACUGAUCACUUGUAGGAAAAUCAGUAGUAGCUGGCUUUCUGAAUUUUGCUUCGUUUGGUUUGGACAGUCGUAGGAAUACCAGAUUUGUUUUUUUGUGCACUUUCAUUCGUUUGGCCAGCCUCAUUUGUCUUUGAAGGGUUAACAAGCAGUUUUUUGUACAUAGUUGACGAUGAUUAACCGAAGUAGCAGUAGGUAGCAAAUGGAAGUCAUGGCUACUGAUUAGAAGUGUCACUCUGGUUUUGUCUGCUGCAGACAAGUCCAUAGGCCUAUAAAUUCUAGUUUCCGGUUUUGGGGUUUUACCAUUUGUUAGGCAUUAAAGGUUUUUACCCUCGAAGGCAAAUUGUGUUAUGUAUAACUAUAUCGUCCGUCACAUGUUGGAUUGAGUUCAUUUCAGGGUUUGCUAAUGUUAUUUUAAGUGGAAUGUAGAUCUCAGUCGAAGAGUUGAGGAGGAGAUGGCUAGGGUCUCUGAACAUAAAUUAAGUACAAUCCCUUUGGAAAUAGUAGAGAUGGGCCAUAUUAGAUAACACAAAUAACUUAUGGCCCCCGAAGUUUAGCUUGAAUUUUUUUUAAUUGGAAAUUAAUGUGCAUCAUGCAAAACAAAAAUCUCAAUUGCAUGACCCUCAUUUAAUUAAUCUUGUUUUGAUCCUUAGAAAUCGAGGCGUGCCGUUUAACGAAAUUCCCAUGGUCCCCGCAAAGUUAAAAACACGUAGUUACUUUAGGUGCAUUAUUUUAAUAAGAUUACCUUCCUAAACUCGGGUGCGCAUUUAUGUGACCCAAAUCUAAAUCUCAACAACGUUAGAUAAAAUAUGUCAAGGACCACGGGUGCAUUUAUGUGAUGUGGUUCAAGACGUGUUUUAAUAACGUUAAAAUCUUUCUAAGAAAAAAACAAUUAAUUAAAAGCGGUUAUAAAGCAAAAAUGCACAUAGCAUUAAACAUGUUUAAUAUCAGAUAAUUAGGCCAAUUAUAACACUUGAGCGACCGUGCUAGAACCACGAAACUCGGGAAUGCCUAACACCUUCUUCCGCGUUAAUAGAAUUCAUUACCCGGAUUUUUGUGUUCGCGGACUGUAAUUUAGAGUCGAUCUUUUCCUCGAUUUGGGAUUUGAACCGGUGAAUUGGGACACCAUAAAAUUAUCCCAAGUAAAGCGACUCUGAUUUUUUUUUACUAAAUAAAUUUCGUCUCGAUUGUCAGUUUAAGUUGAAAAAACUCCCUUAUACCUCUUCCGGGGGUGUAGAAAAAAGGAGGUGUGACCCACCCCAUCCUCAAUAUUUCUUCACAAUUCAUAAUCAAGGAAUAUUCUACCAACGGGAACAUCCAGCCUUUGAACCUUAUGUAUACCAUAUCCAUCAUCUUACAGAAAAAUAUCCACAAUUCAAAUCAUAAUGCACCUACCAAUAGGCGAACUCUCCUCCGGCGAUAGCAAAUAGUGCCAGCAUAGUGUUAAGCACUCGAAAUCAUUCGUGUCAUCAAGAACUCAUAUUCUUCCCUCCAAAACUAAACUUUAAUCUUGUACAUGAAAAUGUUCAACCCCACACGGUGCUUCACCUAUAACAUUCUAACUCAUGACACUAUGAAAAUUUCAUAAUCAACUCUGAACCAUGAUCAAAUUGAACAACUCAUCAACAACGAACCUUUUAUUUUAAUCAAUCCAAGAGAACAUCAUGACACAAAAUAUAACUUCUACACCUGUAACAAACACCAACUCCAGUCGUAGUCAUAACCAUGAUAAAUUUUUCAACAAAAAACCCAGUGUAAUCUCACUAAUGGCGUUUGAGGACGGUAGUGUGUAUGCAAACCUAUUUUAAGAAGAUAGACAUGUUAUUUCCGAUAGACUUCGGCUAUCUUUCAGAUAGUAACAAAAAUCUCUUUUUUUUUAUAAGUAAACAAAAGUGAUACUCCUUCCGGUCAAUAAUAAGUGUCCUUUUGGCCUUUGGAACACCCCUUAAGAAAAUAACUCCUAAAAAAGUAUUUUGACUAAACUACCAUUAAUUAAAAUUUGUAUAUUAUUAACUGGACACAAUGGGAUAUGUAAAUAAGAUCAAAUUUGGAAAAAUAAAGUUAGAUUCUUCUUGAUUAGGUAAAAAGGAUACUUAUUUUGAACUAAAACAAAAAGGCCAAAAGGUCACUUCUUAUGGAUUAGAGGGAGAAGCCUAUUUGACCGGACACAGAGUUUAAGAAAAACAAAAGGCUUUUGAACUUGUAACGUAAAAUGAUGCAAAUAUAUUUUAUGUGUAUAUAUUGCAUAAAGGUAAUUAUUUCCAAAUAUGGAAAGAGGUCUUUUUUUGGCACGGACUAAAAAGAAAAUAGGUUCACAUAAAUUGAAACAGAGGAAGUACUAUCUAUUCCACGGGAACCACUCUCCCACCUUAUCCCGAAUUUCUUCAUUCCUAAUUAAUCUUGGUAUACCUGCACAUCCAUCUAAACAUCCUUAUUUCUGCUAAUUUCAUCUUCUAGACAUGAAAAUUCUUGACUAGCUAACACUCUGCCCCAUUUGUAUGGAAGUUUUGUCGUGUUUUUAAUUCAAAAGCCGAUUUUAAAUCUAUUUCGAUAUUGGUAAAGAAAAAGGAGGCAUAUUGAACUGAGUUAGGGCAAUUGCAACACCCUCACCAUUGGCUAGACCUCAAUUUACUGAGGUGAUGCUCUAAUGGUAUAUGGUUGAAGAAAAUUUCCAAAAAUGACAAGUUUUGUUAAACUAAGAAUGCAAAUUUUGAAGGAGAGAAAAAUUAGUUAUCAACUCGAUCACUCUUCCAGAUUGUCAAUGAGAUGUUGGUUCUCAAUAAGUCAACUAAGCAAUAUCAAACAAGCACUACAUACUUCUAUUAGAAACUUCUACCAGUGUACCUUCAUAAAACAAGGGCUCAAGUCAACAAUUGACAACCUCUCAACUUUCUCCCCUAAACUCAAAUCGGGAGACUUUACCCACAAUAGAUGAAGUAAUUCCAUUGACAUCCUUCCCAACAAGCAGUGCCCUUCGAGAUUCACUAUCACAAUUUGAAAAUUAGAUUAUAACAAGAAAGAAGAUGGACCAUGAGAACCCUGAAGAAAAUUUGUUCUUGAAGGAGGGAAAACAUCCCAACAUUCAAACCAACUAAAUAAGAAAAAAGGAGGUUAUCAAACAUAACGAAAAAGUAUAAAGCAACAGAAGAUAAUAAAUAUUGCAUAAAGCCUAAUACGACGGAAUUUGACAUAACAACAAACAUUAUAUGGUUUUUCUUUUCAUGCGCUAACGGAGCUAAACAUUGAGUGCAUGUUCCAAGUGCUGAGAAAGGUCUAUGGACUUUGUUGAGAUCCAUUUGUUGACAAUAUUCCAGAUAUAACAUUUUAACUUUGUAUUAUAUAUUUUACACAUCAAAGGACAAACAUGAAUUCAUAAUCAUGUUUAGGUUUAUCGUUCCCUCCCCAGACCCCACCUGGUGGGAGUAUACUGGGUAGUUGUUGUUUAGGUUUAUCGUUGUUUCUUAAGCUAGCCUGUGCUGCCAUAAGAUUGAGAAUAAAAAGUUUCCAGUGUUCUUUUUAAAUUUGAUUUGUUUCACACAAUUGUUGUUGUUAGAGUUUAGGAAUAAUAUCAUCAAAUCAUAUUACAAGGUCCUAAAUGUGCUAGAACCACCAGCAUUGAAUUAAAAGACGUCCAAAUCUUGUCAGGUCCACAGAUACAAAGAAGAUAAGAAGGGAAAAUUAAAGAGACGAUGUUAAUGGAUGUGAAGGAGAAUCACUUUAUAAGGACAUAAAGGGACAAGUAGAAGGAUACUCUGAACUUUUCUCUCCUCAAUCAGUAUCUAGAAGGAAAUGCUUUUUAAGAAAGACAAGAAUAGGAAAGAAAUACUAUAGACUCAGGUUACCAUACUGCAAAUACUUUGUUAUUUCAUUAUAGUCUUCUUUCUUUUAAUUCAGGAUUGUGAAAUAGGUCACUCAAAACUGAAGAAACAUGUUUCUAGAUUUGGCACAUUAUAGAUUAUUAGACUUUCAAUAUAUGUAUGCU